UACAGAGGUCCCAAGCGUUUGUUCGGAUUCAUUGGGCGUAAAGGGUGCGUAGGCGGCGCGGUAAGUCGGGUGUGAAAUCUCGGAGCUUAACUCCGAAACUGCAUUCGAUACUGCCGUGCUUGAGGACUGGAGAGGAGACUGGAAUUUACGGUGUAGCGGUGAAAUGCGUAGAUAUCGUAAGGAAGACCAGUGGCGAAGGCGGGUCUCUGGACAGUUCCUGACGCUGAGGCACGAAGGCCAGGGGAGCAAACGGGG
rnacentral:rRNA from 1 species